AUUGAACGCUGGCGGCAGGCCUAACACAUGCAAGUCGAACGGCAGCGGGGGAUAGCUUGCUAUCCUGCCGGCGAGUGGCGGACGGGUGAGUAAGGCAUGGGGAGCUGCCCAAUCGAGGGGGAUAACAACUGGAAACGGUUGCUAAUACCGCAUACGCCCUGCGGGGGAAAGGUGGGGACCUUCGGGCUUACCGCGAUUGGAUGCACCCAUGUGGGAUUAGCUAGUUGGUGAGGUAAUGGCUCACCAAGGCGACGAUCUCUAGCUGGUCUGAGAGGAUGACCAGCCACACUGGAACUGAGACACGGUCCAGACUCCUACGGGAGGCAGCAGUGGGGAAUAUUGCACAAUGGGGGAAACCCUGAUGCAGCCAUGCCGCGUGUGUGAAGAAGGCCUUCGGGUUGUAAAGCACUUUCAGUCAGGAGGAAGGGGAGCAGACUAAUAUUCUGUUUCAUUGACGUUACUGACAGAAGAAGCACCGGCUAACUCCGUGCCAGCCGCCGCCGUAACAC
rnacentral:rRNA from 1 species